rnacentral:rRNA from 1 species
GAGUUUGAUCCUGGCUCAGAACGAACGCUGGCGGCAUGCCUAACACAUGCAAGUCGAACGGGAUCCAGGCUUCGGCCUGGUGAGAGUGGCGGACGGGUGAGUAACGCGUGGGAACCUGCCCAAUGGUCUGGGAUAACCGCGGGAAACUGCGGCUAAUACCGGAUAAGCCCGAGAGGGGAAAGAUUUAUCGCCGAUGGAGGGGCCCGCGUCCGAUUAGGUAGUUGGUGAGGUAACGGCUCACCAAGCCGACGAUCGGUAGCUGGUCUGAGAGGAUGAUCAGCCACACUGGGACUGAGAUACGGCCCAGACUCCUACGGGAGGCAGCAGUGGGGAAUAUUGGACAAUGGGGGCAACCCUGAUCCAGCAAUGCCGCGUGAGUGAUGAAGGCCUUAGGGUUGUAAAGCUCUUUUGGCGGGACGAUGAUGACGGUACCCGCAGAAUAAGCCCCGGCUAACUUCGUGCCAGCCGCCGCCGUAAG